rnacentral:rRNA from 1 species
CGUCUAUAUACGUAUAGCAUAUCAAUAAGCGGAGGAAAAGAAACUAACUAGGAUUCCCUCAGUAACGGCGAGUGAAGCGGGAAGAGCUCAAAUUUGAAAUCUUCAAGGUUUCUACCUUGACGAAUUGUAGUUUAAAGAAGUGUCUUCUGUUGGAAUUUUGGUAAAAGUUCUUUGGAAAUAGGACAUCAAUAGAGGGUGAGAAUCCCGUAUUUGACCAUUAUCUUCCAGCUGUGUGAUACACUUUCAAAGAGUCGGAUUGUUUGGGAAUGCAGUCCAAAAUGGGUGGUAAAUUUCAUCUAAAGCUAAAUAUUGGCGAGAGACCGAUAGCGAACAAGUACCGUGAGGGAAAGAUGAAAAGAACUUUGAAAAGAGAGUUAAACAGUACGUGAAAUUGUCAAAAGGGAAGCGUUUGACACCAGUGUUGUUUUCUCGAAAAUCAAUUAAAAAAUGAUUGGGAUUUUGUGUUGUAUUGACUUUAUCAGCUUUCUGCACUUUUUUCCUGUCUUUUUUAAUGCACUUUUCGUUUAACAAGUCAACAUCAAUUUCUUUUGUUGUAAAAGGGUCAUUGGAAGGUGGCUUUCUUUUCGGAGAAAGUGUUUAUAGCCUUUGGACUUCUGCAAUCGGAGAGAUUGAGGUCUGCAGCGUAGAUCCUUCGGGGUUAGAUACAUUUGUGCUAAGUUAUAGCCUUUCAUAGACAACUUGUUGACUAUGAUCAGUCAUGUAGCUUACUCGCUUAUGUUAUUUUACCUACGCUUAGGAUGUUGACGAUCAGCUGAGCGCG